AAUAAGUAAAGAGCCAAAUCACAUUAUAAAUUGAAAUGAAAUAUAAAUCAUACUCAUAAAUAGAAAUGACAAUAAAUAAUAGCACCGACUCAAGUUUGGCCUGACAAUAGACAAGACGAUAAGUGAUAUCUAUAGAUAACUAAAAAGACCAUAUGUGUUGUUCUCAUGAUUGCAAUGUAUGAUUCUACAAACUAUCUUUCUAUCACAAAAGAUGGCCUUCAUUCACCAUCAGCUUUGGAUUAUUUGCUUGCUGAGUUGCUUCAGCCAAAUCACAUGCUCUGUCUUGAACUCCUCCCGGUGCCUAUAUAAAUUAAUGAAAUACAACAGUGUGUUACAUCUUAAUGAGAUGAAAACAUACAAGAUAACAAGGUAUAAGAAUGCCACUAAGAAGCUUACAAUCUAUGAAAUUAUGAACCUGAGUACAUUAUUAGCUAGAUUUGCGGCAUGAAGAUGGGGCGAUAAAACAAUAAAUUUGUUUGGCAGAACAAGAAGACACAAACUGGUAUAAAAAGUUGUCGGUCAAAAUAAUUUACAUGGAUCCCCACUGCACUUUUAAGUAUUGUGCUACUUAACAUAUUUCAUAAUUAGCUGCAUAAGUAUAGUUGUUUGAUGCUUUGGUUAAUACACAAGUUUAGAUCAACACAUCAUAAAAAAACCAUAAAAAACAGAUCAGUAAUGUACUUAGCAAAGCAAACACAAAAAUGUUUUUAGUAAGGAGUGGCAUCCAUUCAAUAUUGAACAAUCUCAGAAUGAUUUAAUAUCUAAACUCUAAAGGUCGCCACCAGACCAUCGCAGGCCACCUUAUUCCUAUUAAGUCUGUGUUUUCUCAUAUCUGAAUUGAUUUAGACAUGCUACGAAUUUGGCCGUUCAUCACCUUAGAUGCAACUAAGUGCCAUAAGCAACUAGUACUAGUACAGUAGACUACAGUAUUUGAAUCUGUUGUGUGCUUGCUCAUCUUCUCCAGCAGCUACAGCUACUUGUGUACUUGCACUACAGUUGUACGAUGCUUGAUGCUUCCUCAUUCUAAAUACAACAAAUAAAAAUACAAAUUAUGGGCAAAGGACAAUGAGCUUAAAUGUUAAGCAUACACAACCAGGUAAGGAAUUGUCAAGUACUGGACUGUAAAACAAUAGGAAGUGGAGAAGCAAGUAGUAAAAAGAUUAAGCUUCAGACUGUACCAACAUUGCAAGGCUGAUAAGAUUAUCUUGAUAUUGCAAACUUAACCUACUACCUACAGUGAGCAGUCAAUUAAUAUUUAAUGCACCUGCAUUAUAGUGGAAUAAAACAGAAGAGAAACAAUAUACUGACAAGCGAUCGCAUGGAGAAAAAAUAUUACAGAAUUAACAUAAUAACUUUCUCUUUCACCGAGCAGUAUUAGCAUCUGAAUAAACCUUUUAAUAUACAGAUUUUACAGUACCUAGCAACUAAGAAGACAUGGUAUGGCCCAUGAUAGGAGCCCUCAACAUAUGUUUAACUUAUUAACUAUUAUCAUAGAAUAUUAAUUUCUUGUGCAUAUAGCUUCUAAUAAAAGGCUAUUCCUAAUACAGUUUCAUUGUUAAUACUCUGGACACAGAGUGUAGUCACACAUUAGAUGUUCUUGAGCAUGCUGGAGAUUGAAUGAUCUUGCAGCAUAAAAGGGAAAC
rnacentral:lncRNA from 1 species